UCAGCGGGGAGUCAGGAGGCUGGAAACGGGACCGGCUCCCGAGGAAACAUUCACACAGCUCUCUGAUAAAAUAUCCCGAGACUGUUGGAAGAUCAGCACGAUUUGUUUCCUUAAUCCAAAUGAACCGAGAGAUGCGAUCUCUUUUGCAAAUCUGGGACCUUCUUGGCCUCCCUAAUUCACAGAUUCCCUCUUCCCGGCUAAGUGAUGCUCCCGGGAAGUCCAAGUCACUAGAUGGUACUGUUGCUGUUCAAUAUUGACGCCUCCGCGGGCCAGCUCCUCGGGAAACUCGCAUUUCUGUCGGGAGGGAAGGACGGCUGUGUAAUUUGUGAGGGAGACGUGAGCGAGAAGCCGAGAAGUAGAAGGAUGAGGCAUAAAGAGGAGGAACUCACCCAGGUCCCACCCAGCAGUGCAGAAGGAACCAGAAUUACCAGCCCUCGCUCUGCCUCGCCCAGGGUGUGCCCUGAUGGCAACAAACUGCUGGACAUUUUCUCCAAGCACACCUCUGCUGCUGCACAGGUGUAAAGCAAAGAGGUUAUUUCCAGGUAGACUCAGCAGUUUGAGGCUGGAUUCCGGGAUUUCUGUUCCCUUGAGCUUUCAUUCAGACCUACAGGACAAAAGCUGAAAGAUCAAAUCCACUAUUAAAUACCUGAACUAACAGAAAUAGCUUUCCUUGUGAAGAUGCCCUUAUGUAUGAAAGUUAAAUCCGUUUUUUCCUCUUUUAAAACCAAGACAAUUUGUGAUAUCCUCUCUAUCCUCUUUGUCCCAGGUUACAGCUGAAUGACCCCAAACUCCUUUAAGAGCAAAUCACUUGGUCUCUCACACCCCACAGUAGGCAUUAGAUACCCAACUUUCACCUCAAAUAAUGCAAUUUCAGUUAAUAUGACAACAGUAUUUUGGCAAAGGUCAGGACAAAACUGGAAAAGGAAGGAGAAACCCAACCCGUCACAAACACCUACAGCUCUCACAUACAGAAAAUUCACAAGUCCAAUUUUAUUGAGCACUGGAAUUUAACAAGUAAUAGCACUUGGUUGAUCUGGAACUAAAAAUCAAGACUUAUUUUUACUUAUGGAUAAUUCAGAACAAUGUGGUUAAAAGCCCCCUGGAGAUGAAGGUGUAGCCUUUCUUGUUCUCUCUGUUGUCCAAGGGGAUGGGUUUUUCAGAAGUUCCAGCUGUACCAAGCACAAAGCUCUUCUGAUUGGAGACCCCAGGGUGGCAGAGGGAUUUGAGGCUCCUGGUUUUGGGGUCUGACACCCCAGGUAUCAUCUCAUGGCCAGGCAGAACCUGCAGCAACUUGCAAUUCCAUACAAAUAACCAGUUAUCCCCCAAACCAGGACAAGUAUUUGGUUUAAGACCCCCUAAACCCCAGGAUUUAAGAGCACUGAUCCCCACCCAGCCAUGGUUGGUUGGCAUCCAACCCAUCCACCACUCCAGACCUUCCCUCAAAAGACAAUGUAGAAAAUAUUCUGAAAAUCUGUGAAGAUUCCUGCAACACCCAGAAGCAUCCUAAGGGACUGAGCCCAGCUCCAGAA
rnacentral:lncRNA from 1 species